rnacentral:pre_miRNA from 1 species
CGCGUUUUUUCUUCUUCUUCUUCUGCACUUCCAUGUCUCUAUUGUUCACGUGAACAGUGGAGACAUGGAAGUGAAGAAGAAGAAGAAGAAGGAGAAUG